UACGGGGGGGCAAGGCGUUGUUCGGAAUUACUUGGGCGUAAAGGGCGCGUAGGCGGCCUGCUAAGUCGGAUGUGAAAUCCCUCGGCUCAACCGAGGAACCUGCAUCCGAUACUGGCGGGCUUGAAUCCGGGAGAGGGAGUGUGGAAUUCCAGGUGUAGCGGUGAAAUGCGUAGAUAUCUGGAGGAACACCGGUGGCGAAGGCGGUUCUCUGGGCAUGAUCGUGACUGCUGAGGAGCGAAAGUGUGGGGAGCGAACAGG
rnacentral:rRNA from 1 species